AAGCAGUCCUGAAGAACAGUAUUUACGGGGUUAUUAUAAGGGGCGUGCGCUGCUACUAAAUAGUACCGAGAUGUUGUCUGUGAUCGCGCAGCCCAUGCCCAUUCAUUCCCAAGAUGAAUCAUUCAUUUGUUCAUUCCUAUCGUGUUUACAUGUUUUGUGUAAUAUGUCGGCCAUAUGAGCCUUUCAUAAAGGUGGUCAUCCGGAGAAAACUCUCCCUGAAAACUCUCGCGAGCCGGAGUGCUCCUCGGACAAUGCGAGCACCGAGGUCUACAGGAUCCUCCAAGAACGGACAAGCCGUUUUUCGAGAGAGCUCAUUGGUCAGUGGGCGGGGUUUUUAUACUCGGUGAGUUCAAUCUGGAAUUUAACCUGCCCCGGAGCAGGUUAGCCGUUCAGCGUAUAUUGCUAUGGAGACUCGCCUCGCUAAGAAGUGAACCCGAGUCGUAGAACAGGAAACCCCAAACUUAUCCUUGAAGUUACCUCGCUAAGCAGCAAUCCUGCUUCCUAGAACAGGCCCCAGGUCUG